rnacentral:rRNA from 1 species
AGUGAACGCUGGCGGUAGGCCUAACACAUGCAAGUCGAACGGCAGCACAGUAAGAGCUUGCUCUUACGGGUGGCGAGUGGCGGACGGGUGAGGAAUACAUCGGAAUCUACUUUUUCGUGGGGGAUAACGUAGGGAAACUUACGCUAAUACCGCAUACGACCUACGGGUGAAAGCAUGGGAUCUUCGGACCUUGCGCGAUUGAAUGAGCCGAUGUCGGAUUAGCUAGUUGGCGGGGUAAAGGCCCACCAAGGCGACGAUCCGUAGCUGGUCUGAGAGGAUGAUCAGCCACACUGGAACUGAGACACGGUCCAGACUCCUACGGGAGGCAGCAGUGGGGAAUAUUGGACAAUGGGCGCAAGCCUGAUCCAGCCAGACCGCGUGGGUGAAGAAGGCCUUCGGGUUGUAAAGCCCUUUUGUUGGGAAAGAAAAGCAGCAGGUUAAUACCCCGCUGUUCUGACGGUACCCAAAGAAUAAGCACCGGCUAACUUCGUG